UACAGAGGUCCCGAGCGUUGUUCGGAUUCAUUGGGCGUAAAGGGUGCGUAGGCGGCGCGGUAAGUCGGGUGUGAAAUCUCGGAGCUUAACUCCGAAACUGCAUUUGAUACUGGCGUGCUUGAGGACUGGAGAGGAGACUGGAAUUCAUGGUGUAGCAGCGAAAUGCGUAGAGAUCAUGAGGAAGACCAGUGGCGAAGGCGGGUCUCUGGACAGUUCCUGACACUGAGGCACGAAGGCCAGGGGAGCAAACGGG
rnacentral:rRNA from 1 species